rnacentral:rRNA from 1 species
UAGGGAAUCUUCCACAAUGGACGAAAGUCUGAUGGAGCAACGCCGCGUGAGUGAUGAAGGGUUUCGGCUCGUAAAACUCUGUUGUUGGAGAAGAACAGGUGAUAGAGUAACUGUUAUCAUCUUGACGGUAUCCAACCAGAAAGCCACGGCUAACUACGUGCCAGCAGCCGCGGUAAUACGUAGGUGGCAAGCGUUGUCCGGAUUUAUUGGGCGUAAAGCGAGCGCAGGCGGUUUUUUAGAUCUGAUGUGAAAGCCUUCGGCUUAACCGGAGAAGGGCAUCGGAAACCGGGAGACUUGAGUGCAGAAGAGGACAGUGGAACUCCAUGUGUAGCGGUGAAAUGCGUAGAUAUAUGGAAGAACACCAGUGGCGAAGGCGGCUGUCUGGUCUGUAACUGACGCUGAGGCUCGAAAGCAUGGGUAGCGAACAGGAUUAGAUACCCUGGUAGUCCAUGCCGUAAACGAUGAGUGCUAAGUGUUGGAGGGUUUCCGCCCUUCAGUGCUGCAGCUAACGCAUUAAGCACUCCGCCUGGGGAGUACGACCGCAAGGUUGAAAC